CCUACGGGAGGCAGCAGUGAGGAAUAUUGGUCAAUGGACGAGAGUCUGAACCAGCCAAGUAGCGUGAAGGAUGACUGCCCUAUGGGUUGUAAACUUCUUUUAUAUGGGAAUAAAACGUUCCACGUGUGGGAUUUUGUAUGUACCAUAUGAAUAAGGAUCGGCUAACUCCGUGCCAGCAGCCGCGGUAAUACGGAGGAUCCGAGCGUUAUCCGGAUUUAUUGGGUUUAAAGGGAGCGUAGGUGGAUUGUUAAGUCAGUUGUGAAAGUUUGUGGCUCAACCGUAAAAUUGCAGUUGAAACUGGCAGUCUUGAGUACAGUAGAGGUGGGCGGAAUUCGUGGUGUAGCGGUGAAAUGCUUAGAUAUCACGAAGAACUCCGAUUGCGAAGGCAGUUCACUGGACUGCAACUGACACUGAGGCUCGAAAGUGUGGGUAUCAAACAGGAUUAGAUACCCUUGUAGUC
rnacentral:rRNA from 1 species